rnacentral:tRNA from 1 species
GGGGGUGUAGUUCAGUGGUAGAAUGCUUGCCUAAUAUGUAUGAGACCCUAAGGUCAUUCCCA